UGCAAUCUAUAUAUCUAGUUAUCUAGCUAGCUGGAUCUAUCUAACUAUCGCACCAAAUAUCCCUCAUCUGACUGCAUCCCAUUUUCACUCAUGUGUUUCUGUCUUUUAGGCUGUGAUAAGAAGUACGGUACGGGUUGCACUUUGCUUUAUGUAAUAAUUGCCAAAUAUUUUGAUUUCAGAUAUGGGAAAAGCACUUAAGAUGAGCACACGUUUCAGGAACGUUAAAAUUAAGUUGGUGAGGAGGUCUAUCGCGGGCCCUGCAAGUUUUCUUACCUCAGUCAAGGUCUUCCCCAGCCCAGCUACAAACAGACCCACUCUUCAGACCCUUCUAUUACAUCUCAACCUGCUGAACCUGAUGAUGCGACACCAAGCUGUUCUGAGAGCGCAUACAGUAAGGCAAAGAAGAGAGAGCUUCAUGCCUGGGAUGCAGUCAAGGAUGAGAUGCUUAAGGUGACGUUUGAAUGUUCAGCACCGAUCACUACCCAGUGUGUUGUCUGCUGAGAACAUGCUGAUUAUAGGUGCAUUGAGUGCAGCUCCACUACAGUGUUCUGUGAGGUUUGCCUGAAGAGGAUUCACAGAAAUUCACUGCAUCUUCCUGAAAAGUGGAAUAAUGUUUACUAUGAGCCAUCCUCCCUGGGGUUAUUCUUAUAUUUACCUGAAGCCCAUGGCACCCAUGCUGUGUACACAAAGGACAUGAAGGUCAUUGUCAGCACAGGACGGCUCUGCACCGUUACAGUCACCAUGUGUGCGUGUUAACCAGAAACCUGUACUCUGCUGAGAUAUGGGCUCUGACCAGCAACAGCCACAAGCCCCAGACAGACAGCCUUCUCCAUCCCUCUGCUAGAGCUUUCUGUUUCUCUGGCACUGGAGUGUCAGGUUUCUGUUGAGGGUUUUUGCAACACCCCAUAUCCCAUUUUAGGCAUCACCACUUCCGACAAAGAAGUUUGGUUGAUAUUUGCCCACAAUUAAAUGAUGGAACAAUAUGCCCAGCAUGUCCAAAGGCGGAUGGAGAUAUGAUUGUCACAUUGGAUGCAAACUUUGGCCUUGUGAGGAAUCAAAGCUCUGGUACAAGUGCGGUUGAUCCAUUACACAGAACCAGCAUGUUUAGAGGAAUACCUGCUAUCACAUCUUGACAGCUCAAAGCCUCAAGAGGACUGCAGUAAGCUGCUCUCAUUCAAGGUCUCCAACAGCUGGAAAGAAAAUGACAUCAAGCCACUGUGAUGUUUCACCCACAUGUACAAGACAUUAUAGACAUAUAAUUAUAAUAUAUAAAUAAUUUAAUUACUUUACUGCGUUACUUGUGCAGACAUGUUGUUUUACUAGGUCUGAUCUAUUUUAAAGCUUAGGCACUGUAUUUAAGCAUACAUAUCCCCACUAGUCUGUCUGUAUGAGUACAAAAUUAAAAAAUAAACUGUCUAUAAUUGUUACUGUACAAGCACAGUAAAAUAUUUUUAUAAAAAAUAUUGCACUACUGUUAUUUUGCAUAGAAUACAUUGUUCAACAAUAUUUUUGCACACUCAUCCAACUGUAUUUAUUACCACUGUUCUCACGUUCCUGCUCUUCAUAACAUAUAUAUAAUCCUUCUUUGCUCUGUUCAUAAUGUACAUACAAUCCCUACAUUGCAUUCAUAUUUAUAUUCUGUAUAUACUCUGAUCAAUAUUGUAUAUAGCAACUCCACUGUACUUUCUGUAUAUCAUAGCUUUACUUACUCUGCACUUUUAUGUAUAUAAAACACUAUAUUCUUGCACUUCUGGUUAGAUGCUAACUGCAUUUCAUUAGCUCUGUACUUGUACUCUGCAUAAUGACAAUAAAGUUGAAUCUAAUCUAAAAAAA